rnacentral:lncRNA from 1 species
GUGAGCGUCAGUGCAAAUGUUUUCCGAGCCCUCCUCCGGCUCAGGGUGCCUUUUGGAUCCCCCGCAUUCCUCAACCCCGGCCAGGGAGCGGCGGCGCCCUUUGUGUCUCCGCGGAGCGCAUGCCACCUCGGGGAAAACAACGAAUCUGAGUUAGAACGGGGAGAGAGAGACACUAGCGCACUUCAUGCCGGGACAGCUAAAGCCAAGUUUACAGCAGAGCCUGGCACAGUACCCGAACCACAAGGAGAUAGCAGCUACUGUGAUUGGACACGUUCAAGUGAUACCAUGCUCCAGGGAAGGCUUCGACGUGACUCAUCACAGCACUUGGCACGGAGUAACUCAAC